rnacentral:tRNA from 1 species
GAUAAUGAAGUAAAAAUUACAUUUAGCUUCGACCUAAAAAUUAGGGCUAUUUUAUGUAGCCUCUUAUCU